UACGUAGGUGGCGAGCGUUGUCCGGAUUUACUGGGCGCAAAGCGCGCGCAGGCGGUUCUGUAAGUCCUGGGUGAAAUCGCCCGGCUCAACUGGGCGGGGGCCUGGGGGACUGCGGGACUGGAGGGGCCUAGAGGCCGGUGGAACUCCCGGUGUAGUGGUGAAAUGCGUAGAGAUCGGGAAGAACACCAGUGGCGAAGGCGGCCGGCUGGGGGCGCCCUGACGCUGAGGCGCGAGAGCGUGGGGAGCGAACCGG
rnacentral:rRNA from 1 species